ensembl:lncRNA
CUUGGGACAAGUGGGUGUUACCUGCUUCUCAAUCCAAAGUAGGUGGUGGUCAUAAAAUCAGGAUGGUAAAUAUUUUAUAGAUAUCAUCAAAGAUAACUAGUUACCUACUCUUACUUUUCUUUCCAUCUCUCACCAUACACAUCUAAAUGAUCACAAGAACUUUGACUUUUAAAUCCCUUUUGAGUUUGUCUUCUUUUCUCUGAGACAUUCUCUUGCCUUUUGUGAGCUAUUGCAAUAGUCUUCAUCUGCUUGACCUCCCUAAGACAGUCUUCUUUCCUCCAAUCCAUCCUUUCGCUAUCCUGUCAUAGGAGUCAUUUCCAAAUACAUAAAUCAUGAGUUUGUCAUUCUUUUUAAAUCCUUUAGUGCAUCCCAGAAGCCACAUGUCCAGAUUCCCCAGUAUGGAUUGCAAGGCUUUACUGUUCCACUCAAUAGGACUGGAUUUCCCAGGGUGGUCAUGAGCCCAUUUUCCUCAAGGUUUAUAUUCCUCUUCUCUCAUGAUGGCCCUGGUGUACCAGUCAUCAUGAGUCAUCAUAUUCAUCCCUGUGGAAUUUCUACUAUUUCAAAAUGACAAAAAAAUAAAUCCUGGACAUUCAUCUAGGCUUCUCCAUAGAUGCAGGUGAAGAGCUAUCUUUAAGCUAUUCUGUGGAGGUACUUACAAGUGUCCUAACUCUCUCUGAAUUGAUAGUUGGUGUACCACAGCCUACAGUUUUUUUCUUUCUCAGUGUUUCUAAUGAAACUAACAGAUGUCCACUAUUGAUCGCCACAGUCAAUUACUCACCAACAGCUCACAUUAUCCCAGGUUCACUUUCUACCUAUAUAUCAGACAAAUCCACCAUAGGUGAUGGCUUUAAAGUUAAUGCUACAGCAUGCCUAGCAUUGUCAUUACCCCACUUGUCACUGGCAACUGAUGAGUGAUUCAGGCCCAGAAUUUCAUCCUGAAGUAUUAAUAUCUGAGAAUACAUCUGAAAGAUAUAAAUUGUUUUAGAUAGUGUUCUGACCACCAGUUCAUUUCCACAACCUUAAACAAAAAUGGGCAAAGCCCAAAACAUUGUUAGCAUGAGCAGGUAGUUCAAUUUUUGAAGUGAUCUCAAUAAAUGGAUAUAACUAGCUAAGGUUUAAUGGGGGAGGACAAGAAGUCAACAUAACAGAACAUUAUUGAGUUGUUUACAGGCAAGAAAAAUGGUGUUCAUUCCUCCUGGUAUUAUCUAAAGGUAUAUGAAAUGUUUCACAGGAUUGUGAAUGUAAAGAUCAUUCUGGAAGGGUACUCACCCAUUGUCUCUCAUGCCAAAUUGAUUAAGCUUUACCUCAGAGGUAGUGAUGUAGCUGCUCUAUGAAAGCACCCAUUGCAGGCCCAGGAUUUGAGAUUGGACAUUUCAUCGGGCAAUAAACAAGGAUGUGUGCCAUGUCUUGGAGGAAAUGCUUUUAGUGCAAAGUGAUUCAAGCUUACUGAGAAAAGUUUGUAGCAGUGGUAGCUAGGAAGCAGUGAUGAGGUCAUAAAGAUAUGAAAUGGCCAUGAAAAUAUUCAAUAUAGUAUUCAAACAUAGAUUUGUUUGAUUCUACAGCCUAGGCACUAGAUUAUUACAUGUAAUAUUUCUAAUAAACCAGGACAAAAAUUUGACACCUACAGCUAAUGUGUUCUCAAAUAUUUUCAUUGUUUUGGAUGAAUUUAAAUCCAUAAUAUUCAUUACCAAAUGUGUGAUAGAUUAACAAGAUUUUAGACAAAAAUGAAGGAUAUUUUCCAGAAAAUUUUCUUUAAGCCUAUAUGUAGUAAAAUCCAGUAUAAAGUAACUUUAAAAAUAACUGAUAAUUAGCACACAGUAAGGGUCAUACAAAUAUCCUGACACAAAACGCAUGCUUUCUAAGGCUUUUAUGAGAACAUAAUUCUUUUGAAACCUUUCA